GAUGAACGCUGGCGGCGUGCCUAACACAUGCAAGUCGAACGAAGCACCUUACCUGAUUCUUCGGUUGAAAGUUUGGUGACUGAGUGGCGGACGGGUGUGUAACGCGUGGGUAACCUGCCCUGUACAGGGGGAUAACAGCUGGAACCGGCUGCUAGUACCGCAUACGCGCACGAGGAGACAUCUCCUUGUGUGAAAAACUCCGGUGGUACAGGAUGGGGCCGCGUCUGAUUAGCUGGUUGGCAGGGUAACGGCCUAUCAAGGCAACGAUCAGUAGCCGGUAUGAGAGGAUGAACGGCCACAUUGGAACUAAGACACGGUCCAAACUCCUACGGGAGGGAGGAGUGGGGAAUAUUGCACAAUGGGGGAAACCCUGAUGAAGCAACGACGGGUGAGUGAAGAAGUAUGUCGGUAAGGAAAGCUCUAUCAGCAGGGAAGAUAAUGACGGUACCUGAAGAAGAAGCUCCGGCUAAAUACGUG
rnacentral:rRNA from 1 species